CACUCCUACGGGAGGCAGCAGUGGGGAAUAUUGGACAAUGGGCGCAAGCCUGAUCCAGCCAUGCCGCGUGAGUGAUGAAGGCCCUAGGGUUGUAAAGCUCUUUCACCGGUGAAGAUAAUGACGGUAACCGGAGAAGAAGCCCCGGCUAACUUCGUGCCAGCAGCCGCGGUAAUACGAAGGGGGCUAGCGUUGUUCGGAUUUACUGGGCGUAAAGCGCACGUAGGCGGACUAUUAAGUCAGGGGUGAAAUCCCGGGGCUCAACCCCGGAACUGCCUUUGAUACUGGUAGUCUUGAGUUCGAGAGAGGUGAGUGGAAUUCCGAGUGUAGAGGUGAAAUUCGUAGAUAUUCGGAGGAACACCAGUGGCGAAGGCGGCUCACUGGCUCGAUACUGACGCUGAGGUGCGAAAGCGUGGGGAGCAAACAGGAUUAGAAACCCGAGUAGUCCCA
rnacentral:rRNA from 1 species